rnacentral:rRNA from 1 species
UACGAAGGGGGGCUAGCGUUGCUCGGAAUUACUGGGCGUAAAGGGCGCGUAGGCGGCGCAGUUAGUCAGGCGUGAAAUUCCUGGGCUCAACCUGGGGACUGCGCUUGAUACGGCUGUGCUAGAGGAUGGAAGAGGCUCGCGGAAUUCCCCAGUGUAGAGGUGAAAAUGCGCAGAUAUCGGGAGGAAACACCGGUGGCGAAGGCG